UUGUCCAAAUAUGAGUUAAGUAUUAAAAAUAGAAAAUACUACCCACGUAUGUGAUUAACAAACUCUCAAAUUCUCCAUGAGGAAAGAAACACUUGUCAAUCAAUAUAAAACAGUUUAUUUGAUACACUAACCUAUUAAACAUAUUUUCAAAUUGGAACCAAAAAAGAAUUAACAGGUUGGUAGUGUCUGACUAGAAGUCGUUUUGGUUGAAAGGAUCUCUUAUUCUACUCGUCAUCAGGAACAGUGACAAGUCAUUUUCUCAUUAUUUUGGCUCUCUCAUUUUCUAUUUUCAUAGGCAUUACUAUAGUUGGAUUUCAAAGAAAUGGGCUUCAACUAACAUAGAACAGAUCAAAUUGUUCAGCAUCAUGAAUUGCAAACUGGAUAUCUGAUGUGUAUACUGUGGUCAGAAAAGGAAUGGAACAGGUUAUCGAUCAUCUAAUUUAAAAAGGUAUUGGCAAUUUUUUCUUCAAAGGGAAACACCAAAGAAGCACUAUUAUGUAAGCUAAAGUUUAAAAGAGAAAA
rnacentral:lncRNA from 1 species